rnacentral:rRNA from 1 species
AUUGAACGCUGGCGGCAGGCCUAACACAUGCAAGUCGAACGAGUGGCGGACGGGUGAGUAAUGUCUGGGAAACUGCCUGAUGGAGGGGGAUAACUACUGGAAACGGUAGCUAAUACCGCAUACCAUCAGAUGUGCCCAGAUGGGAUUCGCUAGUAGGUGGGGUAAAGGCUCACCUAGGCGAUGAUCCCUAGCUGGUCUGAGAGGAUGACCAGCCACACGGGAACUUAGACACGGGCCAGACUCCUACGGGAGGCAGAAGUGGGGAAGAUUGCACAAGGGGCGCUAGCCUGAUGCAGCCAGGCCGCGUGUAUGAAGAAGGCCGUCUGGUUGUAAAGUACUUUAAGCGGGGAGGCGUUACCCGCAGAAGAAGCACCGGCUAACUCCGUGCCAGCAGCCGCGGUAAUAC